rnacentral:lncRNA from 1 species
GGCUUUAAAAAAUGUUCCAGCUUCAGGAUUGAGUUGCUCUUACAACAGCCUUCGGCGAAAUCGGUUUCGGGAGGUUGAGGUGGAUUUCCCAAGUCAUGGCUCACAACUGUCUUUGGCCUUUUUGCUCUCCAAGUCUGUUAUACAUGGGAGAUGUGAUGUGACCCCACUACAUAUACGUUGGUACUAUAUCCUUUGAAGUAGGAGAAGUUGGUAUUUGAUCCAUGGAUUUUCCUGUAAUUGAUAUGUUUCUUUAUUCUCAUCACUUGUCUGUUUGAUACUGUGUUGUUAUUAUAAGGAGAAAUACUGUCUUGGUCACUCUUGGGAGCUUAAAUGUUAAGCAUUGGGUCAGUUUGCACAAAGUAUCACAUAACGCUGUAAUUAUCUCCUUUUUAGAACUCUUUCAACAACUUUUUUUCAAAUUUGAUGAAAAUCUCAAGAUGGUUUUAAAUCAGUUUAUCUCAGUGUCCCAAGGGGUCAAGAAUGAAAUUGAUAAGUGAAUUUUUGGUUUUGAAUAUGCCACAAUCCUCUUG